UCACACUUGUAAGUUCACUUUGCUAAGGUAAAUGACACUUAUAAGAGUGUAUACAUUAGUAAAGUCGUAAGUUAAUGAUGUAAGCUACUUACGUGGUGUGAGUUACUUACG